CACGUAGGGCGCGAGCGUUGUCCGGAAUUAUUGGGCGUAAAGAGCUCGUAGGCGGUGUGUCGCGUCGGCCGUGAAAACCUGCAGCUUAACUGUGGGCGUGCGGUCGAUACGGGCAUCACUGGAGUUCGGCAGGGGAGACUGGAAUUCCUGGUGUAGCGGUGAAAUGCGCAGAUAUCAGGAGGAACACCGGUGGCGAAGGCGGGUCUCUGGGCCGAUACUGACGCUGAGGAGCGAAAGCGUGGGGAGCAAACAGG
rnacentral:rRNA from 1 species